rnacentral:rRNA from 1 species
UACGGAGGGUGCAAGCGUUAUCCGGAUUCACUGGGUUUAAAGGGUGCGUAGGCGGAUAGGUAAGUCCGUGGUGAAAUCCUGCAGCUUAACUGCAGAACUGCCAUGGAUACUAUUUAUCUUGAAUAUCGUGGAGGUUAGCGGAAUAUGUCAUGUAGCGGUGAAAUGCUUAGAUAUGACAUAGAACACCCAUGCGAAGGCAGGCUAACUACGCGAUGAUUGACGCUGAUGCACGAAAGCGUGGGGAGCAAACAGG